rnacentral:lncRNA from 1 species
AAGUGAAGAUUGACAUCCAUUAAGGCCAAUGGUAGCUCAAUCUUCUGUUCUCUGACUCCCAAGCUUCCCAUUCUCUUAGGAGGCUGCAUUUGUGGCGCUAAAAAAAGGGAUGGGCGUGGGAGAUUCCAGGACUUGUGCUCGCUGAAGAUACAACUGUUAGUCCAAGCUCCUGUAUCAGCAGUGCUUGCACCUCAUAGGUGAUGAUCAUGAGGGGGACAAGGAGCCUCUAGACUUAAGAGACAAGUUGCCAGCAUUCUCCAGAUGGAGUGUUUCCCUCCGCAGCACCCCCUGCUGGUCAGUUUGACAAGCAGGUGAACAGAAGUUCUCAAAUACACAAUAGUAGAUUCUAUCAAUCAAGUUUCAUAAAGAGUUCUGAUUCCCAGAGGCAUACAGCACCAUUUUCAACAUAAAACAUAAAAACCCAUUCAAAAUGGAGGUGAUGGUAGAUGCCUGGACAGAUUACCAGAUCAUCAUUACUCAGCCUCAGAACCAGGUUGACAGGAGGGCUUGGAUGAAGCAAUAAGAAAGGUUGCAACUUCAAAAUCAGUGCAGAUAGCAGAUUCUGUCAACCACAUUUCAUAAAGAGUUCUGAUUCUAAGAGAGCCAUACACCUGAAGGAGGGAUGGAAAGACUAGGAGAGCCUGGGAUCCUCAGAGAUGGAGAUCUGGAUGUGAAGAGAAAGAGAAAAACAAAAGUCAACAGACAGUACUGUGACCAAGUCAGUGAUGGUGAGAUCAGCAGCAUCUCUAGGACCCUUCUGAUUGACAUGAAGUCACCAUCAAGUAGGCAGAACUCACAGGACUUAUGGAGCAAGGAUGACUGACACAAACACAAAAAUCAUUCUGCCUGUUGAAUGAAUCAUAAAAUACUGUCUUUGAUCCAGGAGGCUUGUGUCAUCUGCCAGCAUUUAUGAAACUGUGCUCCAAGUAGGCUCCUGUAUCAGCAGUGCUUGCCCCUGAUAGAUGAUGAUCAUGGGGGGACCAGGAGCCUCUAGACUUAGAGAACUUUCCCCACCCUCCCUGUGGAGUGUUUCCCUCCCCAGCACCCCCUGCUGGUCAGUUUGACAAACAGAUGAACAGAAGUUCUCAAAUACACACCUUUGUGUUUUUAUUUCAGAUGUGCUUUCUUAUGUACUGACUGUGAUCCCCAAAUUCAUAUGUUGAAGUCCCAACUCCAAAUGUAUUUGGAGGUGGGCCUUUCAGACGUAAUUGAGUUUAGAUGACGUCAUGAGGGUGGAGCCCCCAUGAUGACACUAAGUCCUUCUAAGAAAAGGAAGAGAGUCUGAGCCCUCCUCUACACCAUGUGAGGGCACAGAGAGAGAGCAGCCAUCAACAAGCUGAGAGAGGAGGACUGAGAAUGAAACCUACCUCGCCAGAACCUUGUCAUAUCCCUUCCCGGUUUCCAAACGAGUGAGAAAUCAAUUUCUGUUGUGUAAGCUACUCAGUGUAUGAAACUUUGUUAUGGCAGCCAGAGCAGAUUAAUGCAUGCUUCUUGGACUUUGUUUUUAACUCAAUAUGAAAAACAUAUGUUUUAAUAAAAAAAUUACCCCAUUCAUCUGUAUUGUGUUUACUGAUAAUUUUGGACUUAUUUUUGCCAUAUUUAAGAAAUCCUCCUUCCUCUUUCCCAUGCUUUCUUGUGUUUUUUUA